rnacentral:rRNA from 1 species
UACGUAGGAUGCAAGCGUUGUCCGGAUUUACUGGGCGUAAAGCGUGCGCAGGCGGUUUUGCAAGCCGGAUGUGAAAUCCCCGGGCUCAACCUGGGAAUGGCAUUCGGGACUGCAAGGCUGGAGUGCGGCAGAGGAGACUGGAAUUCCUGGUGUAGCAGUGAAAUGCGUAGAUAUCAGGAGGAAUACCGAUGGCGAAGGCAGGUCUCUGGGCUGACACUGACGCUCAUGCACGAAAGCGUGGGGAGCAAACAGG